rnacentral:misc_RNA from 1 species
GGGACAUUGUUCAUAUGCAUGUGGCUGAGAAGGGUCUUCUUCAUGAGAUGGUAAAAAUGGUGAAAAAGAAGCCUGAUUUUCGCGUCAAAGAGAAGAUAUUGAUUCUGAUAGAUACUUGGCAAGAAGCUUUUGGAGGCCCUAGGGCAAGAUAUCCACAGUAUUAUGCCGCAUACCAGGAAUUGUUGCGUGCUGGGGCAGUUUUCCCCCAGAGAUCUGAGAGCUCUGCACCUGUAUUCACC